UUCUAAUCUAAUUCUGCUCAUCUGAUAUGUAAAAUACAGCUGUCCUUCAGUUGACUUCCUUUGUUCCAGGAACAGUUUAACAGUGAAACACAUCAUCCAGAUAACUCUCUUUUGGGUAUAGAUGGAAGAACACCCAGCUCUCAAAACUUCCAUCUCCUGGCUGACACAGCAACCUGAUACAAAUCUCACCUCUGAUCCAAAAGCAAAUCAUCCUCUGCCUCCCUGGUGAUAACAGAAGUGCCCAUCUUCCCUCACGCAAGACUUCAGAGAAAUUUCCGUGGUUUUCAGGGCCCGGCUGAACGCGGUACAGCAGCUUGGGGCAGGGGUACAGUGUUGGCAUGUGGGAGUGUAGGAGCAGUGGAGGCAGGGCCUGGCUGAACACAGAACAAGAAACACGGGGUACAGCAACUUGGGACAGAGCUACAAGGAGCUGUUCUGCAUCCGUGGAGUUGAAAGGGUUUAUGGCUCAUAAAAAGAACUGACAAGCUGUAUUUCAUGAGGAUUAGGCCACAUGCCAAACCCUCCACAGGCUCACAGCUGAGCAGGGGAGGGCAAUGCCCAACUUCAGGAUGCUCUGGCAGCUGUGCCCUGGCCAGAGGCAGGAAAAGGAGAUUGCCACCUGCACUGAAACCUGGAGCUGUGACAUGUGGAUGUCUUGAGCAGUGAUGCUAAAAGUGUAACUUGUGGUCCUUAAAACCCAAUGAAGUACAUGGGACAGCUGAAGCAGAGGUUUCUCUUGUUCCAUGCAUAACAACGUGGGCUAGGAACAGGUUUAUCAAUACCAGCAACAGCACUGCUGCAUGUUCAUUAAUAUUUCUAGUCAAAGCUAUGUAUCUAUCCCAUAAACUCAUGGAAAGUUUCAGCUUUGUAGCAAGGGGCAGAGAAAUAAAAUCAUGAAGAAUGUUUUGGAUUUGGCA
rnacentral:lncRNA from 1 species